CACGUAGGGGGCGAGCGUUGUCCGGAUUCAUUGGGCGUAAAGGGCGCGCAGGCGGCCCGGAAAGUCGGAUGUGAAAACUCGAGGCUCAACCUCGAGCGUGCACCCGAUACUGCCGGGCUUGAGGCAGGUAGGGGAGAGUCGGAAUUCCUGGUGUAGCGGUGAAAUGCGCAGAUAUCAGGAGGAACACCAAUGGCGAAGGCAGCUCGCUGGAACGGUACUGACGCUGAGGCGCGAAGCGUGGGGAGCAAACAGG
rnacentral:rRNA from 1 species